rnacentral:misc_RNA from 1 species
UCAACACCUUCCAUCUAUACUGAUGCAAAAUAUGCAGCAGAUGAACAAUGGCCUCUCAAAACUGAAGAUUUCUUCCCCUAUGCAGAUCAUCCAAAUGCAUAUUGGACAGGUUAUUUUACAAGUCGACCAGCCUUUAAAGGUUAUGUCAGGAUGAUGAGUGGUUAUUAUCUUGCUGCUAGACAACUUGAAUUCUUUAAAGGCAGGAGUACUGCAGGACCAAACACCAACAAACUUGCUGAUGCUUUGGCAAUUGCUCAGCAUCAUGAUGCAGUUACUGGUACAGAAAAGCAGCAUGUGGCUAAUGAUUAUGCAAAGCGACUGUCAAUAGGC